CAUUACCGAGUGAGGGCCCUCUGGGUCCAACCUCCCACCCAUGUUUAUUGUACCUUGUUGCUUCGGCGGGCCCGCCUCACGGCCGCCGGGGGGCUUCUGCCCUCUGGCCCGCGCCCGCCGAAGACACCAUUGAACACUGUCUGAAGAUUGCAGUCUGAGCAAUUAGCUAAAUAAGUUAAAACUUUCAACAACGGAUCUCUUGGUUCCGGCAUCGAUGAAGAACGCAGCGAAAUGCGAUACGUAAUGUGAAUUGCAGAAUUCAGUGAAUCAUCGAGUCUUUGAACGCACAUUGCGCCCCUUGGUAUUCCGGGGGGCAUGCCUGUCCGAGCGUCAUUGCUGCCCUCAAGCACGGCUUGUGUGUUGGGCCCCGUCCUCCUUCCCGGGGGACGGGCCCGAAAGGCAGCGGCGGCACCGCGUCCGGUCCUCGAGCGUAUGGGGCUUUGUCACCCGCUCUUGUAGGCCCGGCCGGCGCUUGCCGACAACCAUCAAUCUUUUUUCAGGUUGACCUCGGAUCAGGUAGGGAUACCCGCUGAACUUAAGCAUAUCAUAG
rnacentral:rRNA from 1 species